AGAAAAGCUUAGACAUUCAUAGGAAUAAGACCUCCCACUAUUUAUUGGUUGAUUACAAGCUCAGUAUGAUUCAAUUGAUGAUUAGAUAGUAGACAUCACCUGUUACAAUUGGAGCCCUGUGGCCAAGAGGACGCCUAUGAACUAUUUCACCUGAUUAGGCCACGCUGGAAUUUUGUGCUUGGGUAAGAGGUCGUGCUUCCCCAGGACACGGGCAGCAGCCUGGAGAGAGGAGUCUCAGAGGGUAACCCUGCUCUUCUCAAAUAUGGAGAGCUCCUAUGUGGAAGGGCAGUGAGUGGGAUUUAUCUUUUUCUGGGGAUUCCAGAUGACAGAAAAUUAGGCCCACACUGCUGAGUGGGAUUUGAGUGUGAGAAUCCAAGUACAGAAGCUGAAUUUGGGAAGUCUUGCUAAAGAAAGUGGAAGAUUUUCCCUAUUCCACAUUUUGGAAGUAUCAAGAGCUGUUUCAUGAGAUAAGCUGGCGAGAGGAAAUAGACUACUCUGGUAGGAAACUAGAGCAGGUGGGCAGGAGUGACUUUCCU
rnacentral:lncRNA from 1 species